rnacentral:rRNA from 1 species
AUGGCGCUCCGUGCUCCUCUUCCUCCUGCGAGGUGCCAGGUCCCCGCAACUCCGGAGUCUCCCUUGCAGCCGCCAAGCUUUUGGGAAACGGUGUGGCAGGUGUGUAAGCGUGUCUCCUGGAAGCACCUUGGUACACUCACGCUGCUGUCUGGCUGCAUAGCAGUUGGUUUCUUUGCAAACAAAGGGGACCCACGCGCCUUGUUGAUAGUUGAUGUACUGGACAAAGCGAACAAAGCAUACAAGCCAAGUCUGGAGUUCGCAGUUUUACUCAUCGCACUUUUCGUUUCUCUGUCGUCAAGGUAG